GUAUAUAAUUUUUGGUUUGGUUUGGUUUAUUAUUUGUUUUCUAAAUGGCAUAAUUCGGUUUUUUUUAGAAAACCCAAAUUGUUGAAAAAUCUUUAAAAAUUGAUUGGUUCAGGCCAGUGUGGCUCAGUUCUAUCAUUUUUGUCCAUUUAAUCGGUUUUUUACACAACCCUAGUUUUAUUUCACUUUUCAGUUCUUGGACUUUCCAUGAAAAUAAUAUUGUUGUCAUGAAGCUACUGAGGCAGUUAUUGGACCAAUUCCAUCCUCUGAAGCUGCUCAUAAAAGAGAUCCUCUCUCUUCUUUUCUAUCUACCAUCAGUUGCAAUAAUAGAUCCAGUUUGCACAAAGCCAAGCUUAGAAAAUCUGUUCAUUGACAACCUGAAUAGUCUCUGGAAGCAUCCAGUAUCUUUUCUCCUUUGUGAGGGUGGAUAACCGGUCUGGGUCCCCUGCAUCAUUUUUCAUAGGCUGCAGAGCUGCUGUGUCCGUAUAGGAAGUAACAUGUUCUUCCUUCAUAGCUUUAAGUGCCAUCAGGAAUUGGAUAUGCUAAUAUGAGUGGGAGGACUCCAGAUGGUGGACUUUCGAAGACCUCCACUCUGAUUCAUUGAUGCCAAACAUAUAAUUGUGAUAAAGCGAGGCUUUGGAAGUUAAUAUUCUUUUAAGGUGUUUCAUAUAUUGAAGGUUUAUAAAGAGGUCAAAAUUGAGAAAUUACUAUUCUCUAAAUAAUAGGAUAGUAGUCAAUUUUUCGUUCAAAAUUUGUCAUAUAUUCCAAGAGGAUUGUUAACAAUCUGAUCUAUAUUGAAACAGUGGCCAUAAUAAGUCCCUAUUUUCCUAGUGCCUGAAAGUGAAGCUCCAUUCUGAAGUUUUCUGAACUAUAAGAUACAUUUUUGACUUCCAGGUGCAAUUGAUCGACAAUUUCACCAACAAGAAAGGAAUGACCAGUCAAUGUUAUCGGAUAGCAUACCGGUCCAUGGAGCGUUCACUUACAGAUGAGGAGAUAAACGAGUUGCAGUGGAAUGUUAGGGAGCAAGUGCAGAGCAAGUUGAAGGUUGUUCUUAGAUGAGAUUUCUGAUGCUGACAACCUAAUUUUACUAUCUCACUCUUGUAAGUCUCCUUAUGGACAUUUUCUAUUAUUAUUCUUUUUGUUCCUACCUUGUACAUUUUACAAUUAUCAACAAGAGUUUGAACUAGUUACAGUGGGGAAAUUAGGCAUUCAAAACCAGCUUUAAUGGGAGAAACACUUCAAGGAAAAUAAGGAAAAUGUACUAGAAAGAAUAGUGCAUACGUUGAUCAAUGUGAAAUUUAUUUUUGUAUACAAUGUUUCUCUAAUAAUUUUAACAAUGCCUGACCUUAAAUAUAGUAAUUAAUUGCUCUUUUGCA